AAGUCGUAACAAGGUUUCCGUAGGUGAACCUGCGGAAGGAUCAUCAAAAAAGAUGGCGCUUGCUCUCUUUCGGGGGCGCAGCGUCGUUUCAUCUUUUGUGCACUUGUCCUGGAUUUCUGCCUGGCUGCGACGCUCGAGGGAGACCUCUGGGCGCGGGCCGCGCAGACCCCACCACACCUGAAUCUUUGUCUAAACUCGGUGACUCGCAUGCGAGCACGCCAAACAUAACAAAAAAUAACUUUUAACAACGGAUCUCUUGGCUCUCC
rnacentral:misc_RNA from 1 species